rnacentral:rRNA from 1 species
GACGAACGCUGGCGGCGUGCUUAACACAUGCAAGUCGAACGAUGAAGCAAAGAAUUGAAGCUUCGGCAGAAAUUCAUUUCGGAUUAGUGGCAGACGGGUGAGUAACGCGUGAGCAACCUACCUCUUACAAAGGGACAGCCUCGGGAAACCGGGAUUAAUACCAUCUCACAUUGCGACGAAGCAUUUCGAUGCAAUCAAAGCUACGGCGGUAAGAGAUGGGCUCGCGUCCCAUUAACCAGAUGGGGAGGUAACGGCUCACCAUAGUAACGAUGGGUAACCGGCCUGAGAGGGUGAACGGUCACACUGGAACUGAGACACGGUCCAGAUUCCUACGGGAAGCAGCAGUGGGGAAUAUUGCACAAUGGAGGGAACUCUGAUGCAGCGACGCCGCGUGAGUGAUGAAGGAAUUCGUUUCGUAAAACUCUGUUCUAUGGGAAGAAAAGGACUGUACCAUAGGAGAAAGCUCCGGCUAAAUACGUG